UUUGAGUCCUGGCAAGAGUGGACGUGUGCCUUUGUAUGUGAAGUUGUCAGGUGCAGAAUGUGUACAGUCUCAUUCUCUCUUUAUAAUUUAGAGAUUUUACUGCCCUUUCUGCUGAGGUGGCAGCUGGAGAACAAAGCCGCCGGCAUCUCUCUAGAAGUUUGCGAUCCCAGCGGACCACCGCAGCCCCUUUACAAGCAGCACGGAGGAACUCCUCUGUCUGAAUCCCUCAGUACCUGCACACAGGUGAUUUAUCCUACUCCAGCCAGCAUCAGGAACCACUGGACUAGAGACGGUCCAACAAGAUGGAAAGUGGUCCAGAAAUAUGGUCCUGAGGAGCAUUUGAAGCAAUCUCCUCUUAGAAGGACAGCAAUGAAACAACAACCAUCAUAACAGUGGCCAGUAUCUACAGAGUGCAAUACGUCAGAUGUCAUCUUGCCUGGAGAACCCCCAUGGACAGAGGUUCCUGGCAGGCUGCAGUCCAUGGGGUCACAAAGAGUUGGACACGACUGAGAGACGAAGCACAGGGCAGAUGCUGUUCUACAUACUUCAGUCACAGACACAUUAACUCCCUGAAUCCCCACAUCGUUUCACUCCCAUUUGUGGAUAGAACAACAGUAGGACCGAGAUUGAAUGUCAUGCUCAGGGUCACAGCAUGUCAGUGACAGAGCUGGGAUUUAAACUCAGGCUGGGUCUUUUAACCAUUGCACAGCUAGCCUGAUGGGUCUUUCUAGAAUUCCACUUCUUUCCUUUCACUCUCCUGGAGACAUCAACAUGGGCUUGAAUGUUUGCAAAUGGGCAAUAAGAAGCCAAAUUCUAGAUCCUAGCUUUUGAGAGCUACCACCAACUGAUCCUUGUUAUUAAGGCGCUGGCUGGCCAACCUGGCCUGUCACUGUAAUAAAGGAUUCAUGAUAGGAAAGAAUUGGCUCUUCCCAAACUUCCCUGGUGGCACAGUGGAUAAGAACCCGCACAUGGGUUCGACCCCAGGUCCUGGAAGAUUCUACAUGCCACGGAGCAACUAAGCCCGUGCGUCACAACUGCUGAGCCUGCUCUCUGAAACCUGCAAGCUGCAACUGUAAUACUGAGCCGUGCGCUGCAACUAUUGAUGCCCAGACGCCUAGAGCCCAUGCUCUGCAGCGAGAGAAGCCACCACAAUGAGAAGCCCAGGCACCAAAAUGAAGAGCAGCCUCAGCUCACUGCAGCCAGAGAAAAGCCCAUGCACAGCAAUGAAGACCCAGUGUAGC